UACGGGGGGGGCAAGCGUUGUUCGGAAUUACUGGGCGUAAAGGGCUCGUAGGCGGCCCUCUCAGUCGGAUGUGAAAUCCCCAGGCUCAACCUGGGAAUGGCAUCCGAUACUGGAGGGCUUGAAUCCGGGAGAGGGAUGCAGAAUUCCAGGUGUAGCGGUGAAAUGCGUAGAUAUCUGGAGGAAUACCGGUGGCGAAGGCGGCAUCCUGGACCGGCGUUGACGCUGAGGAGCGAAAGCCAGGGGAGCAAACGGG
rnacentral:rRNA from 1 species